rnacentral:rRNA from 1 species
GGGUGAGUAACACGCGGAUAACCUACCUAUAAGACUGGGAUAACUUCGGGAAACCGGAGCUAAUACCGGAUAAUAUAUUGAACCGCAUGGUUCAAUAGUGAAAGACGGUUUUGCUGUCACUUAUAGAUGGAUCCGCGCCGCAUUAGCUAGUUGGUAAGGUAACGGCUUACCAAGGCAACGAUGCGUAGCCGACCUGAGAGGGUGAUCGGCCACACUGGAACUGAGACACGGUCCAG